rnacentral:misc_RNA from 1 species
GUUUUGUGUAAAGACGCGGACCCUCCGGCAAAGGAGGACCCACGCGGUGAUGCACAAAGGGUGAGAUGGAUUGUGAGAGGGGCUCGGGCGUGCACGACCGGGGAAGGUCAGCGACAGCCGUCGCGCCUCGGUUUAACGAUAAUGAUCCUUCC